CGUCGAGAGCUUGUGCAGAAAGUCGGUGCGACUGUCCCUAACCUUCGCGUACGCCUUAGCCACCUUCAACCGGGUUUUCCGAUAGUUGUUGCUUCCUUUCUUCUUCCGAGCGAGUUUUCGUUGCAACAGCCCAAGUUUCUUCAAGUGUCUUCUCAAGUAUCGUGGAUUGUCGAUUUUCUCACCAUUGCUGAGGAUGGCGAAGUGUUCCAAUCCCAUGUCGAUGCCAACCAUGUUUCCAUUCUUGGCUGGUUGAAAGAUGACAUCUUCGACCAGGAUGCUCACGUGCCAGCGUCCAGCCGCGUCCAAACUGACCGUCACGCUGGACGGUCGACUUGGACGCGGCAGGGUGCGCGACCAACGGAUAUGCAAUGGUUCGCGCAUCUUCGCCAACGUCAAUGCCCUGUGCUCCCCAUCCCAUGUGAACGCGGAGACAGUGUAGGUAGCAGAGCCUCCCUCGUGUUUGGCUUUGAAUCUCGGAUAGGAGCCAGUCUUGUCGAAGAAUCUCUUGAACGCAGCCUGCAAAUGCCGUAGCGAUUGUUGCAACGGGACAGACGACACUUCCGUCAGAU
rnacentral:antisense_RNA from 1 species